rnacentral:lncRNA from 1 species
AUUCCACCACCAGCUAGCCCGGAAGCCAGAGGCCUGCUCCAUCCUGUGGGAGGAACUCAAGAGUCUGGAUGGGAACAUUCUAUCCCUACAUCUCCAAAGAGGGGACUUACCAGCACCCAUCACACCAGCCAGGACCCUCAGCUGGCAGAGAAAUCAAAGUUGCAAUAUCUGUGACUUUUCAAGUCUUCACUCUCAGUCUGAAGAACCCAGUGGUGGAAUUGGGUCCAUUCAGCUGCUGCCACAAGGAACCCUGACGGAGGCGGUAAUGGGACACAUUGUGUAUGUAUGUGAGGGGUGCCCAGAGGAAAUGGAAACUGAUAAGGGGAAGAGGCCGGUGCACAGUGGAGGAGACCAGAAUGGCUCUAUAAAGAGAGUGCCCGUAGCAGCUAGAAGAGGAUGCCAGGUCUUUUGGAACUGGAAUUAUAAAUGGUUGUGAGCUGCGACAUGAGUCCUUUGAAUGAUCAGCCAGCGCUCUUAACCACUGAACCACCUAUCCAGUCCCUGUACAAUCAAUGUUCGUUAUUCAUGGAAGUUCAUGUUCUACAGUUACCACAAACACUGAGAGAGUGGGUCGUGAACCACUGCCCCUGCACAUCCUGGGAAACACAGACCUCUGCUCCUGCAGCCCACAGAGCAAUCAGCACAAUGCCUUUCAUUGUGUUUCUACUAAAAGACAUGCCACAGCCUUCUUGUACUUAGAAACCCCAGGCCUUAUUUCAAAACAUGCUUGGGACUACGUUAAGGAAUAAAAUAGUCAAGGAAAAGCACCAAAAAUGCGAAAGAAAGCGAAACUAAGACCUACCAUGGUUUAUUUUUAGUCUUUUGCAUCCUUCUGAGAGAGGUUCUUCAAACACCUGGUGGACCUUGAUUGGCCUUUAUCAGAGGGAGGCCUUAAAAUGCUCAGUGGAAGCUUCAUGUGUAUGAGUGAUGGGCUGGGGGCUGUCUGUAGGAUGCUAGGGCCGGGUGAUGGUCAGGUAGGCUCCUGUAAAUGGCCUCUGUUAAGGUCUCUUCUGUACCGUGAGUCUAGUUAAACUGUCCCUUUCAGCUUCCUAUAUGAAGCACAAGGCUGCCCAUGGUGCUGCCAUUUCUGACGGACCUCCCAGAAGCAAGUAACUUAAUCUUUCAUUUAGAUGUUUGUGCCCCCUCCCCAAGCCCCUGGAAUGCCACCCCCUCGUUGGGGCUCUGCUGUAGUCAUAUUUCCCUCCACACGCAUUCUCUUGCUCUCUGUCCCAGGGCUCAGCUAGUCCCCCUCUGUUGUCUGCUCUUUUGUCUCUUUUUGACUUUCAGUAGACAUCCCAUAUUCUGCAACAACUGGGUUUCCUGCUUGCUCCACCAGAUCUCAGUGUUUUCCGAGGCAUGCUUUUACCUGGUCUUGGUCUGGUUAGUUCCUUUGGUGAAACCUUAGAUUUUUGAGGUGAUAGACAACAGUAAUAUUGUGUGCCUUCAUCUGUUUUCUGUUGCUAUAGCAGAACUCCUGAGACUGGGUAUUAACAAAUUAGAGGCCAUAUGGCCCACAGUUCCAGAGUCUGAGAACUCCCAGAACAUGGUGUGUGAGUCUCCUUGGCAGGUGUCAAGGGUCUUCUUCCUGUAUCAUAUCCUGGUACAUAGAGUCAGAUGAUGAGACAGAGCAGGUAUGCAUCAGCUCAGAUCUCUCUUCUUAGAAGUCCAUCAGCAACAUUGUCCCAUGUUGGUGGCCUCAUUUAAUCCUAGUUACUUCUCCAGGACUCCACUUCUAAACACCAUCAAGUCUAAAUUUGGGUACUGAUUUUCAAGAUGCAUAUUAGAGGAUUUAUUUGAAGUACGGUCCUGUGAUUCCCAAAAGUCAUGAGAGUGGUAUGGAUCUGCUGACGUUGCAAGAGUUUGAACCUAACUCGGGGGUCUACCCUUUGCUGGAGUCUGACAAAACCUAACAAAACUUUCCCUACUCUACACCAUUCAUGAUGUUUCUCAAGAAUGGUAGACACAGUUAAACCCCCGAAGCCAGGAUGCACUUAUUACCUGAAGAAACAGCAGGAAAAUGUUGAACAUAGAAGCCUUCAGGCUUUCUCCGUGGUUGUCUUGCUGGGGAACUGUUCAGUUAUAAGCAGAAGUUCCAGAUGGAUUUAAGGUUUCCCAGAGCCAUUAUACUUGAGUAUCUAUCACCAACAGGUCACCAGCAGUCACCAAGUUCCCAUGAAUACAUAUUAGCUAGAGCUGAGAUAACAAUUCUACUUCCCCUCCAGUGUGUCUCUACGUGAUGACUGGUGGCUGUUUCAAGUGCUUGUUAAGGGUUGGGAGGUCUUAACCAGAUCCAGCCAUAUGAAAGGGUCCUGUGAUCAAUUAGUGAUGCCUGCUAUAGGCAGUUAUUCGCUAGCCCAGAACCAGGGAAAGAUGAAAGAGACAUGUUCUAAGACAGUGUUUCCCAAACUUGGUUGAUGCUAAGAAUUACCUGGAGGGUCUUGUUAAAAAUAGAUUCCAGGCUCUUUAUCAGGAGCUAUGAAUCCAAGUGCUUCAGAGUGAGGUAUGGGGAUCUGAACUUAGUGUGCUCAUGCAUCUAUCUAUGUAUCUAUGUAUCUAUGUAUCAUCUAUGUAUGUAUAUAUGUAUGUAUGUAUGUAUGUAUGUAUGUAUGUAUGUAUGUAUGUAUGUAUCAUCUAUCUAUCUAUCUAUCUAUCUAUCUAUCUAUCUAUCUAUCUAUCUAUCUAUCUAUCUAUCUAUCUAUCUAUGUAUCUACCUAUGUAUGUAUGUAUGUAUGUAUGUAUGUAUGUAUGUAUGUAUCUCUCUAUCUCUCUAUCUAUCUCACUUUCUGCAAAUCUGGAUGUAGAACUCUCAGAUACCUUCCCAGCACCCUGUCUACCUUCAUGCUGCCAUGCUUCCUGGAAUGAUGACAAUGGACUAACCCUCUGAAUGUAAGCAAGCCCCAAUUAAGUGGCUUCUUUUCUAAGCAUUGCCAUGGUCAUGGUGUCUCUUCACAACAAUUGAACAUUGAUUAAGACAGAAGCCAAAUGUUAGCUGUGAGCUGCCCAGUAGAAAGGUCUGUACAGCAAGAAACAGAUAUCUUUAAUCCAACAACCUGAAGGAAUAUGAUCUUGCCAACAGCCCCAUAAGUGAAUAUGGAAGUGACUGAUCUGGAAGGUGACUAAGCCCCAGUCGAUGCAUGAGAAAUCUUGAGCCAUGACCUAGCUCAUUUAUUACAAUCAAUAAGCCAGUGUUUUACAGCAUUAACUAAAGUGCAUAGUUCACAGAAGGGUCACUUUUUGUGUUGCGCUUUCUAUGGGUCUUGGCAUGUAUCUCUUAUUACAGUUAUUACAUGCAAGAGUUCCAUGGCUUUAAAACCCUCUGUACUUUCCAUGUUCAUUCCAAACCCGCUAGCAACCACAGAUCCUAUUGCUAUCAUAGUUCUUUCUGGUCUGGAAUAACACGUAGUUGGGAUUAAACAAUACGAAGACUC